rnacentral:lncRNA from 1 species
UCAACAAAAAUGAUAUGAACACCUCAAGAACCUCAUGAACAUGAAGAACACUAUGAACACAAAAUUUCCAGCACACUAAAAUCAUCACUGAUUCAGACUAAUAACACCUGAUUUUCGGUUCCCUUCAUAGAUCAACCAUAACAACAGUUUCGAGUUCAAACACAAACUCAUCAAUAGUAACCGUUGUUGAGCUUCACAGAUCCGAACGCGAAGAAGUUUGAAGCCGAACCGGAAUCGCGAAAUACAAAGAGAGUUUGUAAAUCCAGAUCGUGAAACAGAAACAUCAACAGCGAAGAG